AAAGAGGAGAGGGGAAGGAAGAAAAUAAGUCUUCUGAAAAGCUAAGCAGGAAGUCCCUUAAUCUUCCUUAAGAAAUAAAAUUUAAAAGAUUUCUACCUGUGCCAUAAAGAAACAACAAGAGAGACCAAAAUUAAUCAUGUUUUUUAAAAAAGAGCAAGCACCAAAGUUGCCAUCAAGCCAACAGGCAUUAGCUUAAGCGCUCUAACCUGCAGGUUUUCAACAAUUAACUUUUUAAAGGAUUGCUCACCAAUCUACCUUGAUUUCCUUACACGGAGCAAUGUCAAUAUUGGCAGGCAUUUCUUAAAGUUCUGACUGUGCAGAGAUAAUGCCAUCUACGCAGGGCACCUGGGCCAUCGGGGGAGCAGAGUUAGACUGUAGCUGUAUGUCCAUGAGAGGAGUGAUUUCAUGGAGAAAGGCACCGAGCACAGAAAGUCAAGAUGCAGCCAAGUAAUAAGUCUACUAUGGUAAUGUUAAUAGGUCUGGACACAGCUAGAGGCUGCUGUUCUCCCCAGCAAGGUGACAAUGUGUGGAUUAGAUCUGUGACUCAUAGCCAGUCUCUGACCUCAUCCUGGACAGACACGGAGGUAGCCACGGCAGCACAUCCACAGACCUCCCAGAAGAGGACUGCCAUUGCUUCAGAGAGUGAUGAGGAGGAUGAGAUAAGUGUAUUUGAAGUGAGGUGGUUAAUUUCAGUGGAAUUAAUGGUAAGGUGCCUUGUACUGUAAUAAACAUUCUUUUAAAAAAAUUGAAACAUUCACCGUAUUUUGUGAUCAUAGCGUAUACAUGGAGCCCU
rnacentral:lncRNA from 1 species